rnacentral:tRNA from 1 species
GGAGAGGUGGCCGAGUGGUCGAAGGCGCUCGCCUGCUAAGCGAGUAUACGGUCAAAAGCUGUAUCGUGGGUUCGAAUCCCAUCCUCUCCGCCA